CAAACCAAGCUGCAAACUCUCGGGCCACCGUAUUUCGGGCGGUUUCAGGCCUUUAGGCUUACGGAAAAACAUCGAGGAACGUUCUUGAAGAAACAAAGUGUCCCAGGUGCCGGCGUGCCCAUAGAGCCAGCUGUGGGUUUCAGUCUACUUGGAAGUACCGGAACCGACCUGUCACUGAGCGAGCAGUCAAAUGGCGGGAACGGACCCAGAGGCAAGGUCCCACGGGAGCGUGGGGCGCCGAGCGAGGCGCUUGAAAGGCACAAGCAUUGGAGACCAGCUGCCUCCAAAAUCAUGCCCCCCCUGCUUUCCUGGUAGUUGCUGUCGUUUUACCAAAAAGUGCAUAAGGGGUGGACGUUACUUAACCAUCAUUUCAAUCCUGG